rnacentral:rRNA from 1 species
GUGUAUUAGAUACCCUAGUAGUCCUGGCCGUAAACGAUGUCGACUAGAUCGUGGUGCCUCUGACGGUUUCACGGUCGAAGCAAAAGUGCUAAGUCGACCGCCUGGGAAGUACGGUCGCAAGGCUAAAACUCAAAGGAAUUGACGGGGGCUCACACAAGCGGUGGAGCAUGUGGUUCAAUUCGAAGCAACGCGCAGAACCUUACCUGGGCUUGACAUGCCAGGAUUAUCCCUGUGAAAGCAGGGUAGGCCCUUCGGGGUACAACUGGUACAGGUGCUGCACGGCUGUCGCCAACU